AAUGGUGCCUCGGAACCGAUGACAGGUGCUGCAUGGUGUCGUCAGCUCGUGUCGUGAGAUGUUGGGUUAAGUCCCGUAACGAGCGCAACCCUUGUCCUUAGUUGCCAGCACAUUAUGGUGGGAACUCUAAGGAGACUGCCGGUGACAAACCGGAGGAAGGUGGGGACGACGUCAAGUCAUCAUGGCCUUACGGCCUGGGCUACACACGUGCUACAAUGGCUAGGACAGACGGCCGCAAACCCGCGAGGGGGAGCCAAUCCGACAAACCUAGUCGUAGUCCGGAUCGGAGUCUGCAACUCGACUCCGUGAAGUCGGAAUUGCUAGUAAUCGCGAAUCAGAAUGUCGCGGUGAAUACGUUCCCGGGCCUUGUACACACCGCCCGUCACACCAUGGGAGUGGGUUGCUCCAGAAGUGGUUAGUCUAACUUCGGGAGGACGAUCACCACGGAGUGAUUCAUGACUGGGGUG
rnacentral:rRNA from 1 species